CUUGUGCCAGCCGCCGCGGUAAUACAGAGGGUGCAAGCGUUAAUCGGAAUUACUGGGCGUAAAGCGCGCGUAGGUGGUUCGUUAAGUUGGAUGUGAAAUCCCCGGGCUCAACCUGGGAACUGCAUUCAAAACUGACGAGCUAGAGUAUGGUAGAGGGUGGUGGAAUUUCCUGUGUAGCGGUGAAAUGCGUAGAUAUAGGAAGGAACACCAGUGGCGAAGGCGACCACCUGGACUGAUACUGACACUGAGGUGCGAAAGCGUGGGGAGCAAACAGGAUUAG
rnacentral:rRNA from 1 species